CUGUGAUCAGAUAUGUUGUGGCAUGUUAUGCGUGUAUGGUAUAAGUGGUUGGUAUUUUGGGGAUAUCUCACUAAGCUUUCGGGCUUACAGUUGUGGUUUUAUGUUAUUCAGGUUCUUCAGGAGACCGUGGCAAGGCGAAGGCGUGAUCGUACCGCUCCUCAUGAUUUUGUAGUAAUGUGAUUCUGCGAAUACGUUAAAUGUUUUGUAUUGAAAACCUUUUUGUAAAAAUUGGUUGUAUGUUUCGGUCGUUACAUAUUAAAACCCCAAGGAUAUAAUAAUCAAUAUAGAUACAUAAGUUAUAGCAUAAAGACCUGAUGGUCUUGAAUACUAUCCCGGGUUCUCUCUUAAUCACUCAGUGUCCUAAUCAAGUUCUAGUAGGUUAAGUCUUGAUACCUGUGAUGCAUAUAAACUGUGUUGGUCAGUUUGGGGAAACCUGGUGAGAUACAUUGGGAUUUCAAUCCCAUGAUAUUGAUAUGAUAAUACUCUUUAAUUAUCAGACCUGGAAAACCAACCAUUAUCAUACUAUAUUCAUAUAGGCUUACAUUCCUACAUAUCCAUUCCUACCAAUCGUCACAGAAUAGCUCAAGAUUAUCAGGGAGAAAUUAUCUCUCCUAAUGAACUGUUAAAGGAUUGACUACACAUCUAGGGGCUUCCUUUUCUAGUGUAAGUCAUAGAGGCCUAUGGGACGUCAGAGUAAUUGAUGAAUAUGGAUUUUCAAUUCAUCCACGUCUAUGAGUAAUGAAUUCACAGUAACAAUAUAAUUCACAAGAUUGUCUAGAAUGAUCAAGUAUUUUUCACCUACUCUAUAGGGUGACCAGACAUAUCGCUAAUAGUUUACUGAUCAGGACCCACCAUUAUUGGCCGUCCCAUAUGGAGCUACCGUACAUUGACACCUGAUAUUGUCUCAGAACAUAACUUUACUCUCUGUUCCUAGGUUACACACAUUCUCCUAAAGAGACUACCUAAUAUCAAACUUAAUUGAGUUAAGAAUCUUCCAUAAGUCAAAGUUUAUCCCUAUACUAGAUUACAAUGUAUGUAACCAACUCUAUUCUGCGUGACAUUAACCUAAUUCUAAUGUAUUUAUAAUCCCUACAGAGCAUUAGGUAUUAUUAUUAUUCUUUUAUCUUCUUAGCAAUACUAAUUUUAAUACUAUUAUAUGAUGUAAUCUAUUUAAUCAUAAAAUAGAACCAUAUCUGGUUCGCACAUAGCAUUAUAUAUAUAUAUAUAUAUAUAUAUAUAUAUAUAUACAUAUAUAUAUAUAUACACAUACAUACAUAUAUAUNNNNNNNNNNNNNNNNNNNNNNNNNNNNNNNNNNNNNNNNNNNNNNNNNNNNNNNNNNNNNNNNNNNNNNNNNNNNNNNNNNNNNNNNNNNNNNNNNNNNNNNNNNNNNNNNNNNNNNNNNNNNNNNNNNNNNNCUAAGAACAUAUAUAUAUAUAUAUAUAUAUAUAUAUAUAUAUAUAUAUAUAUGUAUGUAUACAUAUAAUCCAAGCAACAAGCACAUAAUUCACAUAUAACUUCCAACAGAUAUAUAAUACUUUAAUUAAUAGUCAUAUUAAAUCAUGUUCAUCAAAGGGACUAUGCACUCACUUGACUUAGGUGGGUGAUUGAUGAUAUGGGCAUAUUUUCAACUUACACCUUAGAUAUUCCUUGACGCGAGCUAAGUGUAAUUAAUAUAGAGUUUUAAUCUAAUGAUCCUAAAGACUAAUAAUUGUCUAGAUCGUCACUAAUCCUAAUAUCUACAUCAAGAUCUAUCAACUAAGGAUCAACAAGGUAGGAAAGUUAGGAGGCUUGAUCAUUUCGAUAUAACAACUUUUCUAAAAUCCAACAACUAAUUCAACCUAUGCAUUCUAAAGACCUCUCCCACAAGUAGAUCAAUCAAUAUAACGAUAUGGGAUUACUAAUAAAUAUUAUUUAUAAGUUCAUAACAAGGACUUAUGACCAUAAAAAUAAGUUUCAUUAAAAAUGAUAAAGUGUAGCUUACCUUACAGAUGCUUUAUCAAAAAGCUGGGAAUUAUGUAGGCAGAAUUUUGAUUUGGGAGCUUCUAUUCACUAGCUACUUGACAUCACAGGGUUUCUACUUGAUAGCUAUUACAAAUUCAGAGAUCGCAGGGGUUCAUCGAAGCCUAAAACUAAAGGAAAUUGGGGCUAAAAAUCGAAGGAAUCGAGAGAGAAAGUAUGGGUGGUAUGAAGGGGAAUGAGGUUGAGUACACACACACAGACCCCCAUCAACGUGUUUUUUUUACGCGCUAGUAACUCUUCCUCAGCCAGUAUAUANNNNNNNNNNNNNNNNNNNNNNNNNNNNNNNNNNNNNNNNNNNNNNNNNNNNNNNNNNNUAUAUAUAUAUAGCCCAUAUGUGUGGCGUGCAUGAGGUGCACGCCGCACACUCCAGCCACAUCGAUCCUCCGUGCCAUGCUCCUCACGUGUUAGGUCUAGAUUUGUCUGUGUGCCUAUGUCGGCAGCCUACUCUAUGCCAUGCUCCUCACGUGCACGCGUGUGUAUUCAUGAUUUUUCUAAAAAUCAUAUCUUCUUUACAUGAUCUCCGUUUUCGAUGUUCUUUAUAUCCACGCAUAGCUAACAACCAGAUCUACAACAUUAAUUUAGACUCCGUCGGCUAAAAUCCAUUAAAAAUUCAUAACUUUCUCACAUUAAAAAUUGUAUUUUUAAAAACUGUAUUUUUAAAAACUGUAUUUUUUAGCAGGUUUAGAUUGUUAAAAUCCAUUAAAAAUUCAUAACUUUCUCACAUGAUAUUUGUUCUCGACUGUAUUUAUAUCGAUGGAAUCGUAUGGACGUGAUCUUCAAAUCUCGUUUAGAUUGUUCUUCCUAACAAUCAACCGAUCUCUACUUCGGUUUCUGAUCCAUAUACUAUUGCGUUGAAAUUUUGAAAAAUCAUAACUCCCUUUGAUGAAAUCAGAUUUGGAAGUUCUCUAGAUGCACUCUCUCAAUUUAACGACUACUACAAUAUUCAUUUAGAUCACUUAGGCUAAAAAUUAAUCUAUCGAAAAUUCACUUAUCACGAUAUGUAGAGCCGUGUCGGUUUGAUCAUGAAACAUCGAAGAAUCAUAACUUCUUCAUACAAAGUCGGAUUUUCAGCAUUCUUUAUAUGUACGAAACCAUUUUCACAUACACAAUAACUUUAGUUGAGGUUAUUUAUCCUAAAUAACCUUUUAUAAAAAGUGAUUUUUAUGGCUUAUUCAUUUUAAUUGACUAGUCCGAAUCUGUGGGCGUUACAACUUUUGACUAUUAACUUUGACCAAGUUUGACUUAAUGGCAUUUUGGGUAAUUUGGAUAGUAGUUUGAGUCCAUGCUAAUUGUAUAUGUGAUAUGUUGAGGAAACAUUUGGAGCGGUGAUAUAUACAACUAUUUUUUAGUCCAUGAGGUAAAUUUUCGUCACUGUACUUAUGGGUCGAAGACACCAAUGUCGGCACACUAGACUAUGUAUCCUAGUAUAUAAUGUUGUAAUGUUGUAGUGAUCUGUUAAAUCUACAUGAUUAUCUAUUUGUUGUUAUGUGUUUUAUCUGUUUCAUAUGUCGACAUAGUAUGGUUGGGUUGUUUCAAUACUGCUCUAUACAGAAGCUUACAAGCUUGGGAGCAAGCCAAACAUAAGUUGUGGGUCGAAAAGGCAAUCCAUACUUAUGUUGUGGGAUUGGGAGCAAUCUAGACAUGAGUUGUGGUCUAUGUUGGUAAACUAGGCUCGUGAUGUGGGCUCAUGGAUAAUCUGAUUUGAGAAGAAUAUGUAAGGUAUUGUUGCAUUCUCAAUCAUUCAUUUGUUGAACCUGAAAUCGUAAUAGGGAAAUAGUUUGUAAUGAAGUUUUAUGUCGACUUUGUAGGGUGUAAACCCAUGGUUUUUGGUAGAUGGCGAAGUGGGUCCCAACAAUGCAUACAAUGUAUUUCCGUAUGAUCCAUGUUUAUUUAUUUUUCAAUUGUCAUUAUGUAAACUAUUUUUUUUGUAAAUCAUGUCUUAAUGUAAAACAUUUUAAAACAUGCCAUAUUAAUGACAAGUUAUUGAGGUUGGGGCUAAUGUAUUAUUCACUGGUUCUGCUUUUUUUAAGCUAAAGUUUAUGCUGAAGGUAAUGACUCUUUUUUAAUCUACGUAUAUAACCAAAACUUGAGUAUAAAUCCUUGAAUAUGUUUAUUUUUUCAUUUUUAUUGGAAUAAAAUGUAUUAAUACCAGCAGAAGACCAGUGACAAUUCCUACAUAAAAGGUAUUAUCUCAAUGUAAUCACUAUUUAACUAUUGGUAUCCAUAUUAUAUGUAUCUACUUGUUGAAGUAUUUGAAUAUGCAAACAAAUUUUCACAAGAAUGUAUAAAUGUCGGAUUUUCAAACAACGGGGAGGAUUCUAUACCAAAAUCCUACAGUGAUCAUAUUAAUGUGAGAUCCUUGUAAUAAAGGAGAUGCAUGUGAAUCGUGGGACAAGAUGCGAAUGCACAUAAUUAGUCUAAAAAGUUAACUCUUUGCCCAUUACCUCUACACCUUGUUUAGAAAACAUGACAGCUUCUUGAUUGUUGUAAAUAGAAACAUAAUAAAGAAUGAUGUGAAUGCACAUGAUUAGUCUAAAAAGUUAACUCUAUGCCCAUUACCUCUACACCUUGUUUAGCAAGCAUGAUUGCUUCUUGAUUGUUGUAAACAUAAACAUGGUAGAGAAUGUGGAGCUUGUAGCAGUUUUAUUCUUUUUUUAAACUUUAUUAUUAUUAAAUAUUGAGGAUACUGUGGUUAGACAAGUUAAAAUUUUAAUUUAAGUAAUGAUAUUGUGUUUUACAUUUAUUAUUUUAAUUGUGUUUUUAUUAUUUUAUAUCAUAUUAAAAUUAAAAAAGUUAGACCUACAUUUUUUAAUAUAAUUUUUUGUAGUGAAAAAAUGUGUCACUAAAGCAUGAAAAUAAUAUUUUUAUUACCAAGGUAAAAAAAAAUGACACAGAAACCUAAUAGUGUUGUAGCGGCAUAACAAAAAGUAUCACUAAAGCCCCAUAAGCCUCCGACAUGUAAUGAUUAGCAAAAAUAAGAACAAUUGUAUGAUGCCAUAUAUUGAUUUUUAAUAACAUGAGUAUUUUAUCAAAAAUUUUGUAAGGGAUUUAGCAUAUUUUAUUUAGAAAAAUUCUUGUGAAAUUAAUACUAGUGACUAAUGUUAAAUUAUUUUACAACGUGUUAUCAUAGAUUAAUAUCAGUUCGUGAAAUAUAUCAACACAUGUCAUUUGAACGGGAAAUUUUAAUUACCAUUUCAAUAUGUCUGCGGUUAAUGAUUAAUUUAAAUUCCAUCUACAAACUUUAAUUCAAUAGCUUUAAGGGAUCAAAUUGACUACAUUACGAACAAAAACGACGAAAACUCGUUAACAAUAUUAUUCAAGUGGUUAAAUAUCGUGAAAUUAUACCUUACGUAAUAAAUCUUAUAUUUAUUUUACAAAAAUAUAAAACUGAUUUUUAUGAGGUAUAAUUGAAAGUACCCAAAUGUUUAUAAAUAAUAAAAUUAUAUAUAAACAUUUAAAUGACAAUAUAUAAAAAAAACUACAUGGCUAUUCUUAUAUAUGUAGAAAAGGCAAGUAUGGGUACAAGACUGAUAGUAAUACCAUGUAAGGAAUAACAUGUCUAAGUCACCAAUAGAUAAGGUAAAUACUUGAGGGGAGUACCAAGUAAUCUAAUUAAUCAUUUAAUACACUUGUAAACUUACUCCAUUUCCCCCUCAUUUUCAUGACUGCCUUUAUCCUUCUCCUAAAUAAUUAAAUUAACUAAUAUUUAACUACUAACUACUUAGUUACUAACCUAUAUUUAUCUAAAAAAAUCUACAAGUUUUAAGUGGGUGUAUCAAAUCAAAUCCAUGGUGAUGAUAUCGAAUCUUACUUGAAGAUUUCAACCUAUCUUACUUCUUCUUCCACUUAAAUAUCUCAAUAUCCCAUCCCUCAUUUGUUGCUUUCAUUUCCCAGCAAACUCUCAAAAAUAGCACUCAAACUUCAUCACUUUUCUGUCCUUCUCCACCUAUUUGAGAUCCACCAAAACCGAGAGCAAAGGAGGGUUGUUGUCCCUCGGUUUUUCAGCCACCAUUUACAUCUUCUUUUGCAAAAGUUUUCUACCCCCAAACACCACUGAAAGUAUGUUAAUAAACUACACUAAAUGUGUUAACAAAACAGUACCUAAACAACUUCUUUUCUUGCUUCUUUGCUGAGUUUUUCGAGCCAUAGAACACCCAAAACAAUGGUUGUUUUCGAGUGGACACAAACACCCAUAAAAACUUUCAUUUUGCAACCAUUUUUUGAGUCAUAAUAGCAUUAUAUGUUUCUAUUUUCGAGCACCAUUUAACCCAGAGUAACCUACCUUUGUUCCUCAAAAGUCUUGUGUUCCAACCUCUUUUACUUUAGAUAAAAGAAGAAGCUAGGUAAUUUCUUCAUUUUUACCCAUUCCUUUUGUCAUAAAACUAACUUGUAGUAAGUCUUUUAGAACUUGAUUAAAAGUCUAACUUAUUGUUAAUCUGUUUCUAUAUGUGACAUCCUCAAUUUCACGACCAGAAAUGAUCGAUUUGCUUAUGCUUAUCAAAGUAGAGUAUCCUUUUACAACAUCUCUUUAUAUUAAUAGUCUAUAUAUCCUUUGAGGCUCUCGAUUGAUAUCUAUAUCAUCAUAUAUAAUUACCUACGAUAUAAUAAAUUGAGCGUGUCGGGUUGGGAAACCUGGUGAGUGCAUAGGGUUCUCUACCCAUAAUAUUGGAAUUUAUUUCUUUAUAUAAUUCACAACAAAUAGUAACCCAAUUACACAUUCAUGUUACUUUAUCUAUCUAUCUAUCUAUCUAUCUAUCUAUCUAUCUAUCUAUCUCUCUCUCUCUCUCUCUCUCUCUCUCUCUGAAGGGUUCUAUCCUAAGGGGUAUGCAUUGGUAAGGUAACUAAGGAAAAAUUGGUUACUCAAAUGAAUCCAAAAUCGAUACUCUUGGUUUGUGUGAUUUCAUUAAUAACUACAGAUUGCAAGUUUGUUAGUGUUCGACUGGACUGUCUAGAAUAGUCUGUGGUCGCCAUCAAUACUCUACUUGAUGAUUGAUCUUUGUUUGGCAUGGUCUGUUUGCCCUAAUUUUGGCAUGGUCUCUCACCACUAUUUUAGCUCUAGUAUUUUUUUCACCAUUGUCUAUUUUCUCUUAUGGUCUCUAACUAUUAUCUCAUUUGUCAUAUCUUUUUCUACCCGUCCUACCCUAUACAUUAUGAGUAUGGUAAACUACAUAUAUGAUAUUUUAGAAAAGUUAUUAUAUCAUGUAACAUAGAUAUCAAAAACUCAGAUAAUUAGCACAUAAACUUUUUAGGAAAAUUAAAUACUUGAUAUCUAUGUAUAAGUUGAAGGUAACUAUGCACUCACAUGACUUAGGUGAAUGACUGGAGAAUUUGUUAGCGCUCUACCAAACUCCUUGACUUUUCUUCUGAUGUGACCUAGUUACGAAUGUCACUAAGUCUUAGAUUAAUAUUCUUGGUGCCUAAGGAUAGUCUAGAUAACUCAAUAAUCCAUAAGUCUACUGAUAGUUUGUUUUAUUUACUUCUUUUUAUAGUUUAUUUUAGCACAUUUCAUUCGCAUUUUAGUUAAUUUCCAUGCAUAUUUUCCCUUUUGUUAUUUUUAUGACCAUUUCAGGUGCUUUCUAGUUUCUUGAGCACCAUUGCAGAUUUUCUUGGAAACUAGCGGAGCGGCACUCUUGGGAGGCGAUUGGGCUUGAAGGGAAAUGGGGAUUUCGUGCUUGAUGGCUAUGGAGGUGAUUCAUGGAGUGGGCUUGUCAAUUGCUUCAAGGUGUGGAAAUGUUGAGCUUUAAAUUUGAAAGGGAACGAGAGAGUUCUUGGGUGUGCAAGAUCGAUUUUUAGGAGUUUGCGGAAGUUUUGAGUGAUGUGGAAAGAAAAAUUGGGCUCAAAUUGAAGAAAUAUUGAAGAAAAAUGGGCUAGAAGCUGAUUGGACUCGAACUGGGCCAAUGGAUUAGCUGUGGGGGCCCAAGACUUGAGGAAGCCCAAAAAUCUGUCAGAGCCCGCAGCCCGCGCAAGAUUCCCCGCGGCCCGCGUGGAUUCCUGACAAGGGCAAUUUCGGGAUUUUGCUAAGAGCUCUAUGUUGGGAAGGUUGGUGUGCCUCUUUAGCCUCAUCUUGAUGGUCCAAUUUUGACUUGUUCUGUCUGGAGUUUGGAGUGCUUGUGAAGGUCAAGAACACCUCAAGAACAUCUUGAUUUCAUCUCUUGAUUAUUGUGAAAUGUUUGGUACAAUCUCAUCUAAUUUAAUUUCUUUGAGUUUAGCCAUGCUUGGCUAAACUAAUCUUGGUUGACUUUUUGUUGAAUCCUUUGUACUUUUGUUAAAUGUUGAAGAAUCCAUGAAGUUGUUCUUAAAGCUUUAUGGAAAUGUUUUGUGUUUUAUCAUAUUAUCACUACUAGUAUGUUUUUAUUCAUGAGUUUAAAUGUGUUUGUGGUGAUUGGUUGGCUAAUUUCUUGAUUAAGUAAAGGAUCCUCAAAUUAGCAAGCAACAAAUGAUUUUUGUGUUGUUUUUGCUUCACACAAUCAUAAAAACAUUUUCUCCAACAUGGUAGUGAAAGCAUUUGACCCCUCUUGGAUUUGGUGACUUUUUGGUUCUUAAUGCUAGUUGACUUUCACUAAUUACAUGCUAUUUGGAAUUAGUGACUUUGACUAAGGAAAUUGUUAUGAGCUUCUCUAGCCAUUUCAACAAUUAAGAAAAGUCUAGGUAAUCUCAAGCUCCUUGGAUUACUAUAGCCAAAUUAAGGAUUUAAAUCAAAGUAUUGCACCAUUGGAUUCUAAUGAUAUGUUCAUCAAAAGUCAAAGUGAGGAAACUUUAAGUCAACCAUCUCUCCCUUAUUGAUUUUACAUCAAACUCUUAUUUUUGUUGCAAUUGUCUAUUUAAAUCAUAGUUAAUUCUAGUUUGUUUCAAGUAUUUCAAAACACCAAAACCCCCCAUUUUAUUUUUAUUGUUAUUUUACAAGUAUUUUUACAAAGAGAUUUUUCAUAGAGUUAUAAAUUGAACCAAUCUCCGUGGAUUCGAUCCCUUUACCACUAUACACUAUUUUAGUGUGUAAUAUUUAGGGUUAUUAUUUGUGUUGGCCUCGACAACCACCAUCUACACCAAAAUCUAUCAACUAAGGAACAACCAGGUAGGAUCAUAUCGGAGGUAGGGUUCGUUUGGUAUACAAAGUAUACCAUUUGGAAAUCCUACUUUAAACACCUCACUAAAUCCAGCCUAGAUAUCAUCCCCAUAAGUAGAUCAAUCAGUAUAAUGACAUGAAAUUACUGAUAAAUCUUAAUUAUAGGUUCAUAAUAACGACUAUGACUAUAAUUAAAAGUUACACUUGAAUAAAAUAAGUAUAUUUAACUUACAAACCACACUAAUGAAAGCUGGGAAUUAAGCCAACAAAACUCUGACUCAUAAUCUCUUAAUCGGCGGCUAAAAUCUUAAGGGGGAAAGGGCUUAAAAUUGACAGAAAUUGAGAGAGAAAUGUAGGAAUGGUGUGGCAUCCAAGUGAAGUUCGACGGCUAUUUAUAGAGGUAUUUCAUCUGUGCGUCGUGCAAAGAUAAUAUGCAAGCUACCCAUAUAGUCAGAAGAAUGUGACGUGCCACUUUUUGCAUGUUGUUAUGUGUCGCAUUUUGGGUGGAGUGUCAUUGCAUGCGACACACUUUGUCGUUGUGCAUGUGUGCGCACGAAAAAUUUAUGCUCCCAAGGAAGUUCAUAUAUUCUUCAUACAAGCUCUGUAUUCGAUUGGUUUUAUAUCCACAUGUAGCUAUCGAUGAGAUCUACAAUGUUUGUUUAGCCUCCAUCGGCUUAUAUUUACCUAAUUUUUAUAUUUAUAUUUUUAACAGAUAUAGAGUGUUAAAAUUUGUUAAAAAUUAAUAACUCUUUCAUAUGAUCUACAUUCUCGAUUUUCAUUAUAUCGAUGGAUUCAUGAGGACGAGAUCUUCAACUCUUGUUUAUAUUGUUUUUCCUAAUAAUCAACCGCUCUCUACUUCAGUUUUGAGUUGUAUAUUGUUGCAGUGAAACUUGUGAAAAUCCUCACUUCCUCUCACGAUGUUAGAUUUUGACAUUUUGUAUAUGUGUGUUCUUGGUUCAAUGACUACUUUGACUUUUUACCUAGGAUAAAAAGAAAUCUAUCUUCAAUUCAUUAUUUACAACAUACGGUUUGGACACAAAAUUCAGAAGGUCAUAACUUCUUCACUCGAAGUCGGAUUUGGGCGUUCAUUAUAUGUACGAAAUCCUCGUCACAUAUAUUAUAUCUUUGGCUAAGACUAUUUAUCCUGGAUAAUCUUUUUUCAAAAAGUCAAUUUUAACACUAAUAAUAGUCAAAUAGACUAGUCCUAAUUUUGUGGGUCUUAAAAUUAUCUCCCCGUUAGGAUGAUUACAUCCUGAAAUCGUCAACAGAACAAGGCUUCUACGGAGACCUCACACACUACCUUCAAGGUUGUAGAACUCGCUACUCAAUACCUGCUCGGCCGACUGGGAGUAACGAGUACUCAGGAGUACUUGGGGAGUACUCGGAUUUGGUAAUUCAUGCAGAAAUAUUUUUAGGAAAAUUAUAUAUGUCAAAAUCAUAUGUUAAAAUCAUAAUUUGAUUGAAAUAUAUAACAAAAUUAGAUACAUGUGAAUACAUAUAAACUGAAAUACACACAAAUGUCUCACUUCAUAAAUAAUUAUUGAAAAUUUAAGAUAAAUAUGUAGUAAUAAUCACAUGUGUGUGUUAAAUAAUAAAUCAUUAAGUAUAUCAUACAUAUUAAUCUUUAAAUUAUUGAUUUUUUUCUCUUUUUAUGACAUUUUUGACCCUUUGACUGAUUUUGACCGAGUUGGCAAAGUUUGACCGAGUAGGCCUGGGUAAUACCAAUUAGGCUCGAGUUAGAGAGAUGUUGACCAAUUUUUGACCGAUUUUGAAAGAUUUUUAACCGAUUUUAACUUAAUCGGUCAAAAAUCGCCUCAGUGGAGGACCGAUUCCCAAUAAUUGGCCGAGUACUCAGCCGAGUAGGCCGAGUUUUGCAACACUGAUUACCUUUCUGUCCUAUGUAAUAACCAUAACUCUCAUGUCUUUUCUAUCGAGAUUCAAAUUCUUAGACUUCUUGACUAUUAAUGAUGCUCAAUCUUGCACCUGCUUUAAAUCUGAUCUUCAUCGGAAACUCCAUCUGCACUUACUUUGAGUAUCGUAACAAAUUGAUGGUUCAUGUUCUAUUGACCUCUCGUCCUACGAUGCAAUGACUAAACUCAGGUCUCUUUGAGUUAGAAUUCUGGAUGAAAGAUACCUUCCUUUAUAUUCUAAUGUGAUAUAAUCACAUUCUUGCAUGUAACACUUCUAGCUACAUGUUGCUUGAUCUCAACAAUGACUACGAUACCUCUUUCGAUCGCUUCUAUUAUCUUUUCCUUCAAUAUCUUGACUUAAGUAGGAUGCUACACCGAUCAUGGUUCACUAAACCAAUUAACUUACUGUGCAUACUUUUUCUCCAGUCGGACUCGAUUCGAUAUGAUUACUAGGCUCGGAAUACAUUCAUUCUUUUAGUGAGUACUGAAAGGAUGGUAACGAUAAACAUGAACAAAACAAAAUCAAUUACUAGUGCUUUAGUAACUUUGUGAGUCAUACAAGUUCAAGUAUGACUCCUUGUUUUUGGUAGUAUGGGCCCAUAAUAUUUUUACACCUAGUCAUACAUGUCCCAAAAUUUGUGUCGCAGUCCCCAAGCUCUAAAAUCACAAAACAAUUUAACACAUAUGAAUGUGUCCAAGCAAUAAUAAAAUUUUUUCUAGACUCCACUAGGACUUCUUCCAGGCAUAUCUUUAAUAGUAAUUCUACUCCAACUCAUUUGGUGGUGGAAACGCCAGAUGAUGAGACGACUUCGGGAAUCACACCAAAUGUUCUACCAUCUCGCCAAUCGAAGGUGUACUUCAGAUCUAUCAUAUUGUUAUGUAUUCUAAAGACAAGAUACCACUCUAUUGGUAUUACCUACGAUAUCUUGUGAUAUGUAUCAUUCACUAUCAUAAGCCCUCCCAUUUCCUCCAUUUUCUCAAUCCACUACGAGUCUUUACCAUGAAAUUAUGUACAACAAAGUAGACGUUCGGUAUACUAAGACAAGAAUAUACAUAGGGAGGGUUUUGACACAUUAUCAUCCUUAUCACUCUAAAAAAGUUAUAUGUCGGUUCUAAUACCGUAAUUAAACAUUUAGAAACCUAAACAUAUAAAAUUUCCUAAUUCUAGUUUGGAAACAAACCUUAAAUCAAAUAAAAAAAAUAGCAACUUAAAUAGGAAAGCUAAGGUAUGUUAUAAAUCGUUUAGAACAUAAUAGAAAUUAAGGCACAUUCCCUAUAGUAUUCUAUUGCUUGUGUCAAUUUAUGUAUACUACCUAAAAUAAAAUUGUAACAUCUAGAUUUCUAGGGAUAAUAUUUUGAGUAUUCAUUUCGAGAUAUGAUGAGUGACUCGACGAGUUGGUUCGUUAACUCGUCGAGUAGGGUCGCGUUUUGGUGACGUGUUUAAUGAAUGGACUCGACGAGUCAGGUAUCUGACUUGCCGAGUCAGCGCUACUGAUAAAAACCCUAAUUGUCCGGGUUUGUAACCUAUUUAAAGGCCCUUAUGGACUUCAUUUGUGGCCACACUUCCAUCGAGAGACUCUAAUUGAUCCAGAGAGCAUAGAGAGAAAGAGGGAGCUAAUUUUCAUCAUUUUGGGUGCAUUCUUGCAAGGAAGAAGGAGAGUGUUCAAGCUAAAUUGUUGGAGGGGCUCAAAUCUACUACUAUUCCAUUCAAAGUUGUUGUUUAAGGUAUAAAUCUCUACCUAUUUUCGUAUGGUUAGGAGAUCUCGUGAAUUUAGGGUUUCUUUACCCUCUUUUAAGUUGAGUUAUGAUGAAAGUGAAGUCCCCUUGAGGCAUAGACAUUAGAUCUGGACCUUGAGAGGUCCAGAGAGUCCCAUGAUCCCAACUUUAUGCAGUCACAUAAGAGUAUUGAGCCUAAGACACCAUUAUGAGGGUUAUUUUGUCAAUUAGAGCUAGAUGUGCGAUGCAUGAUCAUAAAGAUUGAACCUUUACAUGAUUAAUGGGCUUUGAGAGCAUAGAUCUAAACUUUGGGAAAGUAUCUUGCACUAAAAUCAUCUGAAUGCAUAAGAGACUCAAUAGACUCGCUAAGUCGAGCAGCUGACUCAGCGAGUAACCCAUGGUUUUUCCCUAUGAGCUAAGUAAUGCGGUGACCCAACGAGUUAAGGGUUAGCUCGUCGAGUUGGAGCUUUCUGAGGAUACCAAGAAUCGAAUGGAGUCGACGAGUUCCCCGAGUACACUCGACGAGUCUUGUCAAAGUUGGACUGUUGACUGGAAUUAACUUUUGUUGACCUUUGGGUUGGUCAAAAUCAGUGAAAGAGGUUACGGAAGGGUAGAAUGGUCUUCUAACCAGCUUUCAGAGAUAAGAGUGUAAGGAGAAUAUUAAUUUGAGUGUUACCUUGUGAUAGGCGGAGGCUAGAUUGAGGAUAUCGGGCAAGAGAGUUUACUUGACAUCUUGCGAGGUGAGUCUUCUCACUAUACUUUACCUUGAGUGGUAGUUAUGUGUGACCGGAAGGUCUUAUGUGCUUACAUUGAGUAUUAUGUUGUGACAUCCCCAUUUUCACGGCCAGAAAAGACCGAUUUUGUUUAUGCUUUAUAAAAAUCAGAGUAUCUCUUUUAAUAAAAAUGUUGUGGAAUUUGUUCCCAGAAAAACACGAUAAAUACGUUAUCAAAACAUUUUCGAAGAAACAUAUUUUUUUCAUUUUAAAACGUUUGGGAUGUAAUUGUCAAUACAGAAACAUAAGCAUAAACGGAACUUACAUUUAUUUACACUAAUGAUCUACACCUGUGAUAUAAAUAAACCGAGUGGGUCAGGUUGGGAAACCUGGUUAGUACAUAGGGUUUUCAACCCACAAUAAUAUAAUUAUUAUGUUUAAUCAUCAAACANUCAUAUCAACACCUGUGAUAUAAAUAAACUGAGUGGGUCAGGUUGGGAAACCUGGUGAGUACAUAGGGUUUUCAACCCACAAUAAUAUAAUUAUUAUGUUUAAUCAUCAAACAAUUAAACAAUCAACCCAAUUACCCAUCCCCAUUAUCUUCUUUAUUCUUAAGGAUCUACCCUAAGAAGUGUAACAUCCCUAAAUAGCAAAGAGUAUAGUUGAAGGCCUGAAAGCGUAAAAUUGGAAGGAGAACUCAACGAGUCUAUGGGUGGACUCGGCGAGUAGAGUCGCGACUUGGUCACGUGUUAAGUGGCCCACUCGGUAGGUCAGUAAGGUGGACUCGACGAGUAGGCGUUGAGUGGAGAAAACCCUAAUUCUCGGGGUUGAGCCCUAUAUAAAGAACAUAACAUUCAUUCCCCCAGCCUCUUUACUCAUCCUCAAGUCCAGAAACCCUUAGCCUUCGUGUGUGAGUGAUCAUAUUGCAUUGGGAAGCUUGGAGAAGCAAUUGUUGAGGAAAUCUUGAAGGGUAGGAGGCUUGGAGCAAGGGGCUUUGCUUGGAUUCGAGUUCCAUUGCAGUUGGGGCGUUCUUUUGAGGUAAUAUCUCGUCCUUGGGCUGUUAUUCUUAUGGAUUCAUCAUUAUGGGGUUUGUGGGGAGCUUAUCUUUUGGUGUUUUGGAGUUUAGAGGUUAGAUCUGAGGUUGCUACCUCAGAUCUGGAAUGGAGAAGGGUUGGAAUGCCUGAAAGUCCCUGUGUUUGAGUGUGUAGUGAAGCUAUCAUGUCCCAAACCCUAGCCCUAAAGUGUAAAAGGCCUAGAUCUCUUUGGAUUCACGUAAAGUUUGCCACUUUACGUGAUGGAUGGGUUGUAGGAGGCUAGAUCUAUGUUUUGGAUCAAUUGCAUGGCCUGGAGUGCUUCUGUAUGGAUUCAGACCGGUGGUACUCGGCGAGUCACAUGGGUGGACUCGACGAGUUGCUUGAAGAUGAGCUGGAACUCGACGAGUUGGAAGAACAACUCGGCGAGUUGGAUGAAGAUGGCCUGGAACUCGGCGAGUUGUAUGAACAACUCGGCGAGUAGGUUGAAGAUAGCCUUAGACUCGGCGAGUCUGUUCUUGGACUCGGCGAGUCUUGUCGAAGAGUCCUAAUAUUUUCUGGUCGAGUCGAGAAUCGGUGGGUCAAGGGAGGACUCGGUGAGUUGUGUGCGAGUGGACUCGGAGUUGUUGGACUCGGCGAGUUAGGUCGCAGAUUGAGGGAAAUCCUGAGCUUGGGGACUCGGCGAGUCAUCGGGUUGACUCGGCGAGUAGAAUCAGUCAGGGGUUGACUUUGACCUUGUCCAAGGGUUGACCAAUUCUUUUCCGGGGGUAUUUUGGUAAUUAAGGGUAUUUAUUGAGUUGAGUGUUUUGGUGUUCAGUGGAGGAGUUCGUGUCGGAGUUUGGAGCAGCGGGAUCUUAUCCUUUCAGCCGACAGUUUCGAGGUGAGUUAUCCUCACUAUAUCAACAGGGUCUAAGGCACCAAGGCCGGCCCUUAUCGGAUUGAGAUCCGGGUAGUUGUUGUUAUGUUACUGCUUUGAUAUGUUUGCAUCCUGAGAGCUAGGAUGGUAUAUGUUAGAGACCUGAUUGAGAUCGGUAUCUUGAGAGAUAGGGAGAUGCUAUGCUAGUGACCUGUAAGAUCGGUAUCCUGGUUAGGAUGAUGAUAUGUUAUGUGAUCUGUUUGAUCUGCUUGUUGACUGUGAAUUGCUAUAUGAUUGUAUGUAUAUGUGCACAUGGUUGUUUGGACUGGAGUUGGGUUGAGGCGGGUCCUGCUUUGUGCUGUAGGCCAAGAUACCCAGGGCGGACCGGUUGUUCCGAAGGCCCAGCGAGCGGUCCGGAUAGGCUGUAGGCCCCAAGAGGGCGGACCAGACGUGCCGAGGCUCGGAGAGUGGACCAGGCCGACUGAAGGCCCGGUGCNUGGGCCCAGUCAUACUGUAGACUCAGAGAGUGGACCAGGUGGAUUGAAGGCCCGGUGCGGGCAGACCAAUCACACUGCAGACUCGAUGUAUGUGGUUAGAUUCGGAGAGUGGACCAGGUGGAUUGAAGGCCCGGUGCAGGGGGACCAAUCAUACUAUAGACUCGAGGUUUAUGGCUAGACUCAGAGGCUGGACCAGGUGGACUAUAGGCCGGUGCGGCGGACCAAUCACACAGUAGACCCGAAGUGCAUGGUUGUUCUAUGAUCAGAUAGGUUGUGGCAUGUUAUGCGUGUAUGGUAUAAGUGGUUGGUAUUUUGGGGAUAACUCACUAAGCUUUCGGGCUUACAGUUUUGGUUUUAUGUUUUUCAAGUUCUUCAGGAGACUGUGGCAAGGCGAAGGCGUGAUCGUACCGCUCCUCUUGAUUUUGAAGUUAUGUGAUUCUGGGAAUACGCUAAAUGUUUUGUAUUGAAAACCUUUUUGUAAUGAUUUAAUGGAAUCGAGUUGUUUUUGAAAAAAUUAAAAUUGGUUGUAUUUUUCGGUCGUUACAAGUUGGUAUCAGAGCCUUGGUUUGAGUGAAUUGGAGAAACACUCGUGUGACUCCAGUCUCAAAUCGAGGAGAGUUUUCAAAAGAGAGUUUAAAAUGGUUUUCAAAUGAGUAAAGGAGGACGCGGAGGUACGAUCAGUCGGAGCCAGUAAGUAACCCCAAAAUACCAUGCAUGUUAUUUGUUUUUGAGCUUUGAUAGAACAGCAUGCUAGUGUUAGGCUAGGGAUCUUCAGGAUUU
rnacentral:lncRNA from 1 species